UUCCGUUAAUUUUUUUUUAUGAACGCUUAUCGCGUUUCUCCAACUGGUAGCGUAUUAAUGUAAAAUUUUUGUCGUGAUUCAUUUAGAAAAUAAGGUGACACACACGGGUAAACAUGGAUGAAAUAUUAUGGUAGACGGCAGUUGAACAUAUUUAGCCAAGCGCGCCACGUCAGCAUGAGUUCCGAAAGGCACUGAAACGAUGCGUGGAAGGUGAGAAGAACGGGAUAACUGUGCACUUGAGCAGUACGACGAGUAACUAGUUUCCGAAAAGAUUUAGAGAAAUGGGUUGCGAUGCAAACUACGCGAUGACCAAUUGCCAAACACGAUGGGAGACCACACUUUGAAUGGAAGAAAGAGCUCUCCAUCAGCGGGAGGAGGUGAUUUGGACUUGCUGGAGUACCUGAUUUCUUCAACAGUCGCGCCUGCAUCCGCGUGUCGAACUGCUUUCGUUCCAGCACAUUUUUAUGGCGGUAGCACGUUGGGCGUAGAAUUUGAAAAAUCAAGAAUGUCGAUCUGAAGAAAACAAUCGAUAGCGAAACGCAUUCAAAUCAGAAGAUGGUAUUGUUGAUCUUGUGGCGGUGCAUUCCUUGUGAGUUUGGAUUCAUGAACAUCUCAAAUAAGAGUCACGCCAUUUCGUGAGAUGUUUAGCAGGAGUAAGAUAAAACUUCGUCAGUGAGAAAUGGCAUGAUGGGAAGAACCAUACUAGUCUGAUUCCGUGUCUAACAUACCUGAUAACAUAGGAAACAAUGUUACACAUAAAAUGUAAUUUUUUUAAAUAUUUCUCUUCCAACACAUUUCAUUAAGAUCAAAACUGAAAAGAAAACCACAUACCAUUAUACUUUAGUUAAAAAUUCCUUAAAAACACAUAAAAAUUAAGAAAAAUUUCUGACACAGAUUUCCCUCGUUAAUUGAUACCACUCAGAAUAGUGACACAGCAAUGCUAUCUAGUUUUUCUAUCUGCAACCCACUCACUUUUCUAUUCCGGAUUCUUAAUGUCUUUAAGGACAUAAAGCUAUAGCACACAGUUUUAUAAAGUGCAUUGGUUAGUGUCGUUGUCGUAUCAAACCAUAACUUAUCACAGGUAAUACUCAACGGCUCAUAUACUGGAAUAUUACAACUCAUAUGAAGAAUGUGUAGUUGUACAUCAUAAUAGAUGAUCAAUUCUCUUCAAUUUAUUGUUUGUAAAACUAAACAAUUAAAAUAAUUG